GUAGGUGGCAAGCGUUGUCCGGAAUUAUUGGGCGUAAAGCGCGCGCAGGCGGUUCUUUAAGUCUGAUGUGAAAGCCCACGGCUCAACCGUGGAGGGUCAUUGGAAACUGGAGAACUUGGGUACAGAAGAGGAAAGCGGAAUUCCACGUGUAGCGGUGAAAUGCGUAGAGAUGUGGAGGAACACCAGUGGCGAAGGCGGCUUUCUGGUCUGUAACUGACGCUGAGGCGCGAAAGCGUGGGGAGCAAACAGGGAUUAGAUACCCUGGUAGUCCACGCCGUAAACGAUGAGUGCUAAGUGUUAGGGGGUUUCCCGCCCCUUAGUGCUGCAGCUAACGCAUUAAGCACUCCGCCUGGGGAUACGGCCGCAAGGCUG
rnacentral:rRNA from 1 species